rnacentral:lncRNA from 1 species
GGACUUGAACAUUUACUCAAAUGAUCAGUUUUCGAUACUUUUUUCGUCAUGCUUAAAGAUAGUGACUUGAUAAUUGAUAUAUAAUUUUGUCAUGACAAGUUACAGACAACAUUCAAAUUUUAUUUAGGUCUGAAUAUUUUGUGCAGAGUUAAGCAGAGUUAUGGUCCUUGGACUACACCAAGUUAUGGGUCAAGUUAGCAUUUUUUUCAGUACAAAUGCCUCAGGUAGGAAAUUUCAUAAACAAAAGCUUGUCUCUAUAUCAAAUUGUUUUUACUUCGAAUGCCUUGUAAAAAGCAAGUUCUGUCCACCCUCUGACAUAGACC